rnacentral:rRNA from 1 species
UACGUAGGGGGCAAGCGUUGUCCGGAUUUAUUGGGCGUAAAGAGCGUGUAGGCGGCUAGAUAGGUCCGUUGUGAAAACUCGAGGCUCAACCUCGAGACGUCGAUGGAAACCAUCUGGCUAGAGUCCGGAAGAGGAGAGUGGAAUUCCUGGUGUAGCGGUGAAAUGCGCAGAUAUCAGGAAGAACACCCGUGGCGAAGGCGGCUCUCUGGGACGGUACUGACGCUGAGGAGCGAAAGCGUGGGGAGCGAACAGG